rnacentral:piRNA from 1 species
UGAAAUUGGGUUUUCAAGGUGGUUUAUAAUGC